AUUGAACGCUGGCGGCAGGCCUAACACAUGCAGGUCGAGCGGAUGACGGGAGCUUGCUCCUUGAUUCAGCGGCGGACGGGUGAGUAAUGCCUAGGAAUCUGCCUGGUAGUGGGGGACAACGUUUCGAAAGGAACGCUAAUACCGCAUACGUCCUACGGGAGAAAGCAGGGGACCUUCGGGCCUUGCGCUAUCAGAUGAGCCUAGGUCGGAUUAGCUAGUUGGUGAGGUAAUGGCUCACCAAGGCGACGAUCCGUAACUGGUCUGAGAGGAUGAUCAGUCACACUGGAACUGAGACACGGUCCAGACUCCUACGGGAGGCAGCAGUGGGGAAUAUUGGACAAUGGGCGAAAGCCUGAUCCAGCCAUGCCGCGUGUGUGAAGAAGGUCUUCGGAUUGUAAAGCACUUUAAGUUGGGAGGAAGGGCAGUAAGUUAAUACCUUGCUGUUUUGACGUUACCGACAGAAUAAGCACCGGCUAACUCUGUGCCAGCAGCCGCAGUAAAAC
rnacentral:rRNA from 1 species